rnacentral:rRNA from 1 species
UACGUAGGGUGCGAGCGUUGUCCGGAAUUAUUGGGCGUAAAGAGCUCGUAGGCGGUCUGUCGCGUCUGCUGUGAAAUCCCGAGGCUCAACCUCGGGCCUGCAGUGGGUACGGGCAGACUAGAGUGCGGUAGGGGAAAAUGGAAUUCCUGGUGUAGCGGUGGAAUGCGCAGAUAUCAGGAGGAACACCGAUGGCGAAGGCAGUUCUCUGGGCCGUAACUGACGCUGAGGAGCGAAAACGUGGGGAGCGGAACAGG